CAAGCAGUGGGAGCGGUCCUUGAGACCGUGACUGCGUACCUUUUGUAUAAUGGGUCAGCGACUUAAUUUUAGUAGCAAGGUUAACCGUUUAGGGGAGCCGUAGGGAAACCGAGUCUUAAUAGGGCGUGCAGUUGCUAGGAUUAGACCCGAAACCGGGCGAUCUAUCCAUGGGCAGGUUGAAGGUUGAGUAACAUCAACUGGAGGACCGAACCGACUACCGUUGAAAAGUUAGCGGAUGACCUGUGGAUCGGAGUG
rnacentral:rRNA from 1 species